GCGUCAAUGAGGGUGAGAAUCCUGUUUGUCAUGUGCAGCCCUUUGUGCACGGUGUAUAUUUGCUGAGUCACACUCCUUGGCAUUGGAAUGCAAAGUGGGUGGUAAGUUUCAUGUAAAGGUAAACAUGCAAUUGAGACUGAUAGCACACAAGUACCAUGAGGGAAAUAUGAAAAGGACUUUGAAAAGAGAAUUAAAUGAGUUUGUAUUUGCUGAACACAAAGUAAACAGACUUGAUUUGCUUGGUGGGAGUGUUGCACUUGCUUGACAAGAGCUUUGGGCUGUGGGUGUAAUGAUUCUUUCUUUGCAUGCCAGUUUCUAUUUGUACAUCUGAUUACCUUUGCACAUGAAUGAUAAGUCUCCUGUGGGGGGUGGAUUGCAUGUGCAUGUAAUGAUUUGUGUUUUGAUAAAUGUGUCUGGUGUAUGUGUGUGUUCCUGUGCUUGGGGAUGCUUCCUUCCUUGGACUUACAAGCCCUGACACACACAUGCUGGCAAAAUGCUUCUGCUUGACCCGUCUUGAAACACGGACCAAGGAGUCUAACAGAUGUGCAAAGUUUGAAGGUGGUAUACCUUUGUGUGCAAUGAAAGUGUCAGCUGGGAUAUGUGCACCAGCACCCAAUUAAUUAGCGGACAGAGGUUUGAGUUGGAGCAUAUCUAUUAGGACCCGAAAGAUGGUGAACUAUGCCUGAACAGAAUGAAUUCAGAGGAAACUCUGAUGGAGGUUCGUAUCGAUACUGACGUGCAAAUCGUUCGUCAUAUUUGGGUAUAGGGGCGAAAGACUAAUCGAACCAUCUAGUAGCUGGUUCCCUCCGAAGUUUCCCUCAGGAUAGCUGGAGUUGCUCAGUUUUAUCAGGUAAAGCGAAUGAUUAGAGGAAUUGGGGACAGGUUUGUCUUUGACCUAUUCUCAAACUUUAAAUGGGUAAUAUGUAGUGGUUGCUGUAUGGAACUUCUAAGAUAAAUGGCAAUAUUGGGUGGGCCAUUUUUGGUAAGCAGAACUGGCGAUGAAGGAUGAACCUAAUGUGGGGCUAAGGUGCUUA
rnacentral:rRNA from 1 species